ACCAGACUCCUACGGGAGGCAGCAGUGGGGAAUAUUGGGCAAUGGGCGCAAGCCUGACCCAGCAACGCCGCGUGAAGGAAGAAGGCUUUCGGGUUGUAAACUUCUUUUGACAGGGAAGAGUAGAAGACGGUACCUGUCGAAUAAGCCACGGCUAACUACGUGCCAGCAGCCGCGGUAAUACGGAAGGUCCGGGCGUUAUCCGGAUUUAUUGGGUUUAAAGGGAGCGUAGGCCGGUCUUUAAGCGUGCCGUGAAAUUUUGUGGCUCAACCAUGAGAGUGCGGCGCGAACUGGAGACCUUGAGUGCGCGGAAGGCAGGCGGAAUUCGUGGUGUAGCGGUGAAAUGCUUAGAUAUCACGAAGAACCCCGAUUGCGAAGGCAGCCUGCCGCAGCGUUACUGACGCUGAAGCUCGAAAGCGCGGGUAUCGAACAGGAUUAGAUACCCGAGUA
rnacentral:rRNA from 1 species